rnacentral:rRNA from 1 species
CCCUUAGAUGUUCUGGGCCGCACGCGCGCUACACUGAUGCAUUCAACAAGCCUAGCCUUGACCGAGAGGUCCGGGUAAUCUUUGAAACUGCAUCGUGAUGGGGCUAGGUUAUUGCAAUUAUUAAUCUUCAACGAGGAAUGCCUAGUAAGCGUGAUUCAUCAAAUCGCGUUGAUUACGUCCCUGCCCUUUGUACACACCGCCCGUCGCUCCUACCGAUUGAAUGUGUUGGUGAGGAGCUCGGAUUGGCAGCAGUUGGUGGUUCGCCACCGGCUAUUGCUGAGAAGUCCUCCAAACCGCCCCAUUUAGAGGAAGGAGAAGUCGUAACA